rnacentral:rRNA from 1 species
AUACAUGCAGUCGAGCGGACAGAAGGGAGCUUGCUCCCGGAUGUUAGCGGCGGACGGGUGAGUAACACGUGGGUAACCUGCCUGUAAGACUGGGAUAACUCCGGGAAACCGGAGCUAAUACCGGAUAGUUCCUUGAACCGCAUGGUUCAAGGAUGAAAGACGGUUUCGGCUGUCACUUACAGAUGGACCCGCGGCGCAUUAGCUAGUUGGUGGGGUAAUGGCUCACCAAGGCGACGAUGCGUAGCCGACCUGAGAGGGUGAUCGGCCACACUGGGACUGAGACACGGCCCAGACUCCUACGGGAGGCAGCAGUAGGGAAUCUUCCGCAAUGGACGAAAGUCUGACGGAGCAACGCCGCGUGAGUGAUGAAGGUUUUCGGAUCGUAAAGCUCUGUUGUUAGGGAAGAACAAGUGCGAGAGUAACUGCUCGCACCUUGACGGUACCUAACCAGAAAGCCACGGCUAACUACGUGCCAGCAGCCGCGGUAAUACGUAGGUGGCAAGCGUUGUCCGGAAUUAUUGGGCGUAAAGGGCUCGCAGGCGGUUUCUUAAGUCUGAUGUGAAAGCCCCCGGCUCAACCGGGGAGGGUCAUUGGAAACUGGGAAACUUGAGUGCAGAAGAGGAGAGUGGAAUUCCACGUGUAGCGGUGAAAUGCGUAGAGAUGUGGAGGAACACCAGUGGCGAAGGCGACUCUCUGGUCUGUAACUGACGCUGAGGAGCGAAAGCGUGGGGAGCGAACAGGAUUAGAUACCCUGGUAGUCCACGCCGUAACGAUGAGUGCUAAGUGUUACGGGGUUUCCCGCCCCUUAGUGCUGCAGCUAACGCAUUAAAGCACUCCGCCCUGGGGAGUACGGUCGCAGACUGAAACUCAAGGAUUGGACCGGGGGCCGCCACA